UACGUAGGGUGCAAGCGUUAAUCGAAUAUCUGGGCGUAAAGCGUGCGCAGGCGGUUAUGUAAGACAGGUGUGAAAUCCCCGGGCUUAACCUGGGAACUGCAUUUGUGACUGCAUAGCUAGAGUACGGUAGAGGGGGAUGGAAUUCCGCGUGUAGCAGUGAAAUGCGUAGAUAUGCGGAGGAACACCGAUGGCGAAGGCAAUCCCCUGGACCUGUACUGACGCUCAUGCACGAAAGCGUGGGGAGCAAACAGG
rnacentral:rRNA from 1 species